rnacentral:tRNA from 2 species
UCCAGAGUAGCUCAAUGGUGGAGCACCCGGCUGUUAACCGGUAGGUUGAGGGUUCGAGUCCCCCCUCUGGAGCCA